rnacentral:tRNA from 1 species
GGGGCAGCGUAAUCGACAAGUGUGGGAGAGCGCAUCGCUGGCAGCAAUGAGGUCAGGGGUUCAAACCCCCUUGGCCCCCCA